AGUAUAAUGCCUGAUUAAAAGGGUAGCUUUGAUAGAGCUAAUCAUGUAAUUUUUUACUUAUACUA
rnacentral:tRNA from 1 species